rnacentral:rRNA from 1 species
UACGUAGGGUGCGAGCGUUGUCCGGAAUUAUUGGGCGUAAAGGGCUCGUAGGCGGUUUGUCGCGUCGGGAGUGAAAUCCACUGGCUUAACUGGUGGCUUGCUUUCGAUACGGGCAGACUGGAGGUAUGCAGGGGAGAACGGAAUUCCUGGUGUAGCGGUGAAAAUGCGCAGAUAUCAGGAGGAACACCGGUGGCGAAGGCGGGUCUCUGGGCCGAUACUGACGCUGAGGAGCGAAAAGCGUGGGGGAGCGAACAGG